UAACAAUCCAAACUACUAAACUAGACCAUAAGAUUUUGGUUCGCGCAGCGCAAGAGAUUAAAGCAACAUUGUGCAUGUGAUUAUCACAAGAAGAGAGUUACCGAACGGCGAUCUUGUCUGUCUGUGCCCACUAAGAAUACUUGUCUUAUCCAAGACCAGUUGGCAGUCGUGGUUCAUGUGAUUUUUAUAUGAGAAAUAAAAGAUUUAAACAAAAGUCGUAUAUGUGUUUUUCUGCUAGGUUAUUAGCAUGUUUGUCUCCCUCGCAGUCGUAAAAAUUACCGCACUAUUUGUCAAUUUAUUUUUACACUAGUAUUGAUAUUAGCGCUAUACCACCUAUGAUCUACGACUGUGGUAAGGAUUUGAGAGAAGCCAUCAAACUAUUUUACUCUUUUUUUUUGGUGGCCAGUUCGUUCUUUAAUAUUUUUUGUAGAAUGUUUUGAAAACGGACAAAGAAAAGGCCUGACUCCACGUAACACUUGAAACAUUUUUAAAGAGAUCUAAUUAUUUAAAAAUGUCGAUGAAUUAUCGUUACAGUUGAUUAUGGAAAUGACCUUUUUUAUCAAAUGGAAAUUACCUUAAUUAGGGGAGUUUCUCUAGGAUUACAAACUAAUUUUACAUGCCAUUUCAUUUUGGGUGAUGGAAAAAACAGACAUGGGUUUCGUGUAUUAUUGGGAUCUGAGGGCCACCUCAAUAGUGAAGAAACUUGGCAUAUAUGUAUUUCACCACACAAGUAAUAAAAAUGAUAUUGUAUAUGAUUACUUGUUAUAUGAAUAUAUUGAUAUAUAUAUAUCACCACAUAUGUAGAAAACAAUUACUUGUUAUAUAUAUCAUAUAUGUAUUUCACCACAUAUUUAUAUAUAAACAGGUAAUCACUUUUUAUAAUGUCAUAUAUAAUAUAUAUCUUCAAUGUACGAAUAUUAUACUUUCAUAUAUCACUUUUCUUGGUUUAUUUCUCGUUCUCCAUUCACUUCUAUAUAUUGAUUCUCCCACCAACAGCGUUUUCUUGAUAGCAAUCCGUUGAAUAAUCGAUUUUAAAUUAUUAUCAUUGUUUUCAAAUAAAUUAUUAUAUUGGGAAACUAUCCAAAGAUAUUCAAAAAUGCCUGUAACAAACACAUGCAUUCCGUCUUCUUUGGAUUGUUUAAUUCGUCAUAUGCUGCUCCCGUUUCCAACAAGAAGCUCCAGUAGUCGUCCUUUCCUUCUAGUGUUUUAUUUAUCCUGAUUUAGACUUCUUUAGUUGCAUCAUUGCAUGCUUUCUCUUGUGUUUGAUUGUUUGUGUUUAAGUUGCUUAAAUAAAUUGGUAGCAAUAUUGUAAAACUCUUAAGAAGGUAGGUAAAUUUAACAUGAUUACACAAAAAACCGUUUCAAUGAUUUGAUGAUAAACAAUCUAUAGGUUUACAUAUAUUUAUAACCUAUAGAUUUUUUCCAACACAUAUAGAUUAUUAAGAGCAGGACCACUAACGAUAAUUCAUAUCAAACUUAAAGAACAUUAAAACAACGUUAGCUAUACUUAGAAUAUGUUUUUUUUGCUCUUUUGGUAUCGAGCGUCUAAGAUUUGUUAGAAGAACUGCUUUUGCGUUUUAUGUUUUUGCACGAGUUUGAAUUUGUGUUCGCAAUUAAAUACGCUUUUUUAAUUUGCAAUAAUUAACUUACUCUUAUAUAAAAGUAUUACAUAUAUAAUAUGUUCAGUUCGUAUAUAUAUUAAUAUAAUUGUAUGUAUUAAAUUAAAUGAAGUUCUAACAACAAAAUGCAUUUGUGUUUGUAGCCAUGUAAUUCUGUGACAGUCUGAGCAAUAUCUCUUGAAACAAUCAUAUGAUGGAAUGUAUUUAAAAGGUUGCUGACGCGUGAAUUCUUAUCUAAUUGGUUGCUUCUUACCUAAUCAAAAGAUUAAUUAGUGAAACAUCAUAGUGCAUUGAUUAGAAUAUAUCAUUUUAUUGGUUAAUUCCACCCACUGCCUAUUGAUUCCUAUCAGUCACUUACUUUCUCUACAAGUUGAAAUUUUAUAUAGGAGAUUCGAUAUUAGCUGAAAGAACACGUAUUCAUUAGCUUACGUCCCUUUUUUGAUUCGUCGAUAAAAAGCUGAAAACAUAAGAGUAUAAUCUAUUGUAAGAUUUUGACCGAAAAAAAAAAAUCUAUUGUACGAUUCAAUCAAAUGUACCUUAAGCUUAACCUUGAAACUUGAUCAAAGUUCCAAAUUUUCAGAUAUUUUUGUUGUCGUGACAUUUGUCACGCGACCGUUUGAGAUUGUUAACGAAUAAAAUAUAAGUCAGUGCUUAAAGUCAUUAGUGCCUAUGUCUUAUUGUCAGAAACUGAAUUAUACUAGUGAAUGUAUGAUUUUCAUUUAAUUUCCCUGUUCACAACUGUAUGCUUUCAUCUAACAACAAAUCAUGCUUUUAAGAGGAAACUAUCUAUUACUAUGUUAAAUAUUACUAGUAUUUUAAGGAGUUUUAGGUACGCUAUUAGAAAAUAAUUUUAAAGGUCUGAUAGCAAUCAUCAUCAUCACUGGGAGCUCACAUAAAGUGUGCCUAAAUAUAACUCAGCUCGAGAGGAGUUUUACUACAGCCCAUGGAAUCUUAUUGGGCCUGUUGAGAUGAUACUUAAUAUCUGAGUCUGAACUCUGAACCAUCAUGCAUGCUUCUGUGAGAUGAAAACUAUAUGCCAUAUGUAAUCUGUUCUUAAAGAGUUUUUCUAUUGAGAGGCAGAACUAUACACUCCAAAUUUAAGCAUGGCAUUCGGGUAUCCAUUUGGAUACAUAUCAGUUUUUUCGGAUAUUAGUUUUUUGAGUUUUAAAAUCAGACUCCAUAUGGGUAUUACAAAAUUUUAAGGUGGAUUCGAGUCGGAUCUUCCGAGUCCAAAUUGGUUCGGCUCUGAUAUUUAGGAACCUGAAAAUAAACGAAUAAAAUAUCUGAAACGGAUUCGGAUAUUUAUACCCAAAAUAAUCAUAUUACUCGAUUUAGUUCAGGUAUUUUGUAUCCAAACUAUCCAAACGUACCAAGAAAUAACUAAAAAUAUUCAUUAUAUGUUAAGCUGAGUUUCCAACCUAAAACCAAUUGGUGAUAAGUGGAGUGGUCCAUCCAUCUUAUAUAUUGCUAAGGAUCCCUUCCAAUAUCCGAUGUGAGACAUUUAUCCCUAAUACGCCCCCUCGAGAUGAUGGCUCUUUGAGCGUCAAUCUCAGAAUGUUCGGGCAAGGAUUGAUGGGCCGACUUUGGGUUGGAUCGAUAAUGGAUCGGAUUGGACUGCAUGGAUCGGGUUCUGAUACCAUGUUAAGCUAGAUGGACUUCCAACCUAAAACCAAUUGGUUCUAAGUGGAGUGGCCCAUCCAUCUUAUAUAUUGCUAAGGAUCCCUUCCAUUAUCUGAUAUGUGACAUUUAUCCCUAAUAUUAUAUACAGUUUUGUUCGAGUAUUUCUACCAAAACUAUUUUAUUUUAUCUGAAAAUACACAAAAUAUUGAAAAAUAACUAAUAUUUUUUUUGUCAUCAACUUAAACAGAUUCAUACUAACUCUGUUAACCACACCGGGAGCUCCGGAUUCAUAUGAACGACGAAAGACGGUUGCAUCCUUACACUGCGUGCUAGAUAAUCCGCCUUAGAAUUCUGCGUUCGUAGUACAUGAAUGAUAUCUGAGCUGAGGAAUAUAUUUAAUUUAAUUAAUUUAUGAUUUUAAUUUAAACUAUUAAAAUAAUUAUAAGUAUAAUUAUAACAAAUAUUUUUAAAUAUAUAAUUACUUUUUGGAUAUUCAUUCGGUUCUCGGUUCGGACUGAGUCUGAUACCGAUGGAUAUAGCAAUUUAGGAUCUAUUCGGUUAUAUAUCAUGAAUCCGAUCGGAUUUGAAACCAUGAUUUUUGGGUCGAUUCUUUGGGUCUGGAUAUUUUACCCAGCCCUACUUAAAUUAUCAUUGUUGUGCCUUUUGAUCAAAAACGUUUCGAAUAUCAAUGCGACCUUUUCUUUCUGAAAAUAAAAUAUGUGAUUGUAUAUGUCACUAACUGUUCAUCUUAAGAAGCAAAACUAACAUAUCUACCUCUCCUAGAGAAACCAACAACAUACAGCUGCGGAGAAUCAUCAAAGCACAAAAAAAUAUGUAAUCGAAGGGGCUGAAAAUGCAAGUAACCUAUACCUGAUCAUGAAAUGCAUCACCUAAAGCUAAGAUCAACAAUUUGCAAAGUCAUUAUAGAAACAUUGGAAGACAAAGAUAGAUGUCUUAACAUUGACAAGAACUCAUCACCGAAAACAAGUUAUAUGCUCAUCUGAAGUUACAAUGUACCAACUUAUAACCGAAAAGGAAGAAAAUCUAUAUGCUGAAAGAGUGUUCAAGAAGGUACAUCUCCAUCAGGCAUCUCCCAGUUAUCUUCUUCUUCAUCCUUCUUCUUACUCUUGGUUGCUGCCGCUGCUGCUUCUUCUCUAGUCUCUUGAGUAAACUUUGCAAAAGGACGCCUGACAAACAAAACCACAAAUACAAA